GCGACCCGUCAUCAGCUCAUAGCGUAUAUUAAGUUGCUGCAGUUAAAAAGCUCGUAGUUGAAUUUCGGGACCAUCAUGUCGGUCGUGCCUCGGGACGGACUGGGAUCGUCGGUUUCUCCCUUCUGACGAACCCUGAUGGCCUUUAUUUGGGGGCGUGGGGAAUCAGGAAUGGUACUUUGAAAAAAUUAAAAUGGUUAAAGCAGGCAACCA
rnacentral:rRNA from 1 species